rnacentral:rRNA from 1 species
GACGAACGCUGGCGGCGUGCUUAACACAUGCAAGUCGAGCGGUAAGGCCUUUCGGGGUACACGAGCGGCGAACGGGUGAGUAACACGUGGGUGAUCUGCCCUGCACUUCGGGAUAAGCCUGGGAAACUGGGUCUAAUACCGGAUAUGACCUCCUAUCGCAUGGUGGGUGGUGGAAAGAUUUAUCGGUGCAGGAUGGGCCCGCGGCCUAUCAGCUUGUUGGUGGGGUAAUGGCCUACCAAGGCGACGACGGGUAGCCGACCUGAGAGGGUGACCGGCCACACGGGGACUGAGACACGGCCCAGACUGCUACGGGAGGCAGCAGUGGGGAAUAUUGCACAAUGGGCGAGAGCCUGAUGCAACGACGCCGCGUGAGGGAUGACGUCCUGCGGGUUGUAAACCUCUUUCAGCAGGGACGAAGCGCAAGUGACGGUACCUGCAGAAGAAGCACCGGCUAACUACGUG